GGGGACAUUGGGGUGAAGGAGCAGGGCCAGGAUAAUAAUAACCGGGGCCGCCUGGUCCUAUGAUAAUCUCCAAUGCUUGUCUUUGCCGCCCGGCCUCAUCUUUGCCGAUGGCGAAAUAUGGGAAGUAAAAAAGCAAGAAAGUAGAUAGCAUGAAUAAGAGCAAGGCGUUAAUGGAUGUGAUGGUGCCCAUCUUUCUCUCUCGACACAACUGUGCCACAUGCAAUGUAGUUAUGGCACUAAAUAAUCAACUUUGGUCCUAUAAACUGUACUAUAUAUAUGCAAUUAUGCAUCACCAAAAAUAAUC
rnacentral:lncRNA from 1 species